ensembl:misc_RNA Metazoa_SRP Metazoan signal recognition particle RNA
GCUGGGCAUGGUGGUGUGUGCCUGUGAUCCCAGCUACUUGGGAGGCUGAGGCAAGAGAAUUGCUUGAACCCGGGAGGCAGAGACUGCAGUGAGCCGAGAUUGCACCACUGCACUCCAGCCUGGGUGACAAAGUGAGAUCUUGUCUCCA